rnacentral:rRNA from 1 species
UACAGAGGGGGCAAGCGUUGUUCGGAAUUACUGGGCGUAAAGGGCGCGUAGGCGGCCUUCUAAGUCGAACGUGAAAUCCCCGGGCUCAACCCGGGAACUGCGUCCGAUACUGGAAGGCUUGAAUCCGGGAGAGGGAUGUGGAAUUCCAGGUGUAGCGGUGAAAUGCGUAGAUAUCUGGAGGAAUACCGAUGGCGAAGGCAGGUCUCUGGGCUGACACUGACGCUCAUGCACGAAAGCGUGGGGAGCAAACAGG